rnacentral:misc_RNA from 1 species
AUUUUGUUCAGUUUUUUUUUUUAAUUGGAAUUAUAGGAUCUUGCUUUACAUUUAAACUAAAAAGAAGAAAAUAAAUAAAAAAAAAGGAACUUCAAUCUGUUGCAGAAGUUGGGUUGAAAGGAAUUGAGUAAUAGAAAUAGUUGAGAGUUUUCUGUGUAUGGCAUUUACUUUCGUUUUCAGUUUUUUUAAUUGCAUUUUGGGCACAAAGCUGUCGUCUGUGCUUAUUGCAUCUUAUAAUUUUCUUAUAAUGAAUUUUAAGGUGUUUCAAAAACUGGGGAAUAAAUGGUUUUUGUGCAGAUGAAGACU